GAGUUUUGAUCCUUGCUCAGGAUGAACGCUGGUGGCAUGCUUAACACAUGCAAGUUGAACGACUUUGGAGAAAUUCAAAUGGAGUAACGGACGGGUGAGUAACAUGUAAGAGAUUCACAAUCACGUAAAUUUUCCGAAAUUUACGCUAGGGUGGGGGAUAACUUAUGGAAACGUUCGCUAAUACCCCAUAAUGCUAUUAAGUAAAAGAAUUUUCGUAAGAAUAUUCGCCUGAUUAGAAGCUUGCACCUGAUUGGCUAGUUGGUAGUAGAAUAAAAUCUACUGGAAGGGGUAAAGGCCUACCAAGGCUAUCAGUAGCUGGUUUGAGAGAAUGAUCAGCCACACUGGGACUGAGACACGGAACAGACUCCUACGGGAGGCCGCAGUGGGGAAUUUUUCGCAAUGAGUGAAAGCUUGACGAAGCAAUGCCACGUGGAGGAAGAAGGCCUUAGGGUUGUAAUCUCCUUUUCUCAUUGAAGAAGACAUGACGGUAUUUGAGGAAUAAGCAUCGGCUAACUUCGUGCCAGCAGCCGCGGUAAUACGAGGGAUGCAAGCGUUAUCCGGAAUUAUUGGGCGUAAAGAGUUUGUAGGUUGUUUAGUGUGUUUAGUGUUAAAUAUUAGCGCUCAACGUUGAAUUUGCACUGAAAACUAUUAGACUGGAGUAUGAUAGGGGCAAAGGGAAUUCCCAGUGUAGCGGUGAAAUGCGUAGAUAUUGGGAAGAACACCAACGGCGAAAGCACUUUGCUAGGUUAAUACUGACACUGAGAAACGAAAGCUAAGGGAUCAAAAGGGAUUAGAGACCCCCGUAGUCUUAGCCGUAAACGAUGGAUACUAAGUGGUGCAUUUUGUACUGCUGCAGCUAACGCAUUAAGUAUCCCGCCUGGGGAGUACGCUUGCAAAAGUGAAACUCAAAGGAAUUGACGGGGGCCCGCACAAGCGGUGGAGCAUGUGGUUUAAUACGAUGGUACACGAUGAACCUUACCAGGAUUUGACAUGCUAGGAAGUCAGUUGAAAGAUUGAUGUGCCUUUUGGAACCUAGACACAGCUGGUGCAUGGCUGUCGUCAGCUCGUGUCGUGAGAUGUUGGGUUAAGUCCCGCAACGAGCGCAACCCUCUUUUUUAGUUAUUUGUCUAAAAAUACUGCCGGUUAUACGCCGGAGGAAGGUGAGGAUGAGGUCAAGUCUUCAUGCCGUUUAUAUCCUGGGCUACACACGUGCUACAAUGGUUAAAACAAUGGGUUGCUAAUUUGUGAAAAUAUGCGAAUCUCAUAAAUUUAAUCUUAGUUCGGAUUGUAGGCUGCAACUCGCCUACAUGAAGCUGGAAUCGCUAGUAAUCGCCGGUCAGCUAUACGGCGGUGAAUCCGUUCCCGGGCCUUGUACACACCGCCCGUCACAUCAUGAAAGUUGAUCUUGUCUAAAGAUGUUAUUUUAACUUGUUAUAAAGGAAGAUGUGUCUAGGGGCCGGAUUGAUGAUUGGGAUGAAGUCGUAACAAGGUAGCC
rnacentral:rRNA from 1 species